rnacentral:rRNA from 1 species
UGAGUACGAGAUGCUACGGCAUCGAAGCAGUCUAUGUCAUACUUCCAAGAAAAGCUUGCAAUGUCAUAAACAAAUAAUGCCUGUACCAUAACCGACACAGGUGGGUAGGUAGAGUAUACUAAGGGGCGCGAGAUAACUCUCUCUAAGGAACUCGGCAAAAUGACUCCGUAACUUCGGGAGAAGGAGUGCCUUAUUUUUAUAAGGUUGCAAUAACAAGAUCCAAUCAACUGUUUACCAAAAACACAGGUCUCCGCUAAGUCGUAAGACGAUGUAUGGGGGCUGACGCCUGCCCAGUGCCAGAAGGUUAAAGAAGUUGGUUAGCAUUAGCGAAGCUGAUAACUGAAGCCCUGGUGAACGGCGGCCGUAACAAUAACGGUCCUAAGGUAGCGAAAUUCCUUGUCGGGUAAGUUCCGACCCGCACGAAAGGCGUAAUGAUUUGGAUACUGUCUCGGAGAGGGGCUCGGUGAAAUAGACUUGUCUGUGAAGAUGCGGACUACCUGCACCUGGACAGAAAGACCCUAUGAAGCUUUACUGUAACUUGAGAUUGAAAUUGGACUUUAUCUGCGGAGUAUAGGUGGGAGACGUUGAAAAUAUUCUUGCGGGAAUAUUGGAGUCAUCAGUGAGAUACCACUCUUAUAAUGUUAGAUUUCUAACUUUGUAUCAUUAUCUGGUCAAAGAACAGUUUCAGGCGGGCAGUUUGACUGGGGCGGUCGCCUCCCAAACGGUAACGGAGGCGCACAAAGGUUUCCUCUGAACGUGUAGAAAUCGUAUCUAGAGUGUAAAGGCAUAAGGAAGCUUGACUGUGAGACCUACAAGUCGAGCAGGGACGAAAGUCGGUCUUAGUGAUCUGACGGUGCUGAGUGGAAAGGCCGUCACUCAACGGAUAAAAGUUACUCUAAGGAUAACAGGCUGAUCUCCCCCAAGAGUUCACAUCGACGGGGAGGUUUUGGCACCUCGAUGUCGGCUCAUCGCAUCCUGGGGCGGUAGUACGUCCCAAGGGUUGGGCUGUUCGCCCAUGAAAGCGGUACGCGAGCUGGGUUCAGAACGUCGUGAGACAGUUCGGUCCAUAUCCGGUGUAGGCGUUAGAAUAUUGAGAGGAGCCUUCUUUAGUACGAGAGGACCGAGAAGGACAUACCUCUGGUGUACUAGUUAUCGUGCCAACGGUAAACGCUGGGUAGCCAUGUAUGGAGAGGAUAACCGCUGAAAGCAUCUAAGUGGGAAGCCCACCUCAAGAUAAGUAUUCGC